rnacentral:rRNA from 1 species
UACGUAGGGUGCGAGCGUUAAUCGGAAUUACUGGGCGUAAAGCGUGCGCAGGCGGUUUUGUAAGCCAGGUGUGAAAUCCCCGGGCUCAACCUGGGAAUGGCACUUGGGACUGCAAGGCUGGAGUGCGGCAGAGGAGACUGGAAUUCCUGGUGUAGCAGUGAAAUGCGUAGAUAUCAGGAGGAACACCGAUGGCGAAGGCAGGUCUCUGGGCUGACACUGACGCUCAUGCACGAAAGCGUGGGGAGCAAACAGG